CAGAGAGUAUGCCUGCACUUAAAACGUGUUCAGUGCAAUCGCGAAUCUCUCCUCUUCGCUUAAAGUAAGCGUGUAUGUGCUUAGACUGUGUCCCAUGCGUUUGCGCAUGGCCAAGUACUCUUCUCUUGGAUUUCUUUCUCUUUGCUCUUGGCAUAAACGCUGUCAAAACGGCAACAACCAAUCAGAAAUAGGCUUCAACGACUGACCAAUGAAAACGCGACAUCGUACAUGGAAUCUUAUUGGUUGAUGGGCUCUUUAAAAAACAAUAAUGUUUUGACUAUGAUAGGUGUGAAAACAAUUUUAAUUAAAUUAUUAAAUGAAAUCAUACUCACAAUGUCUCACAAUUUCUUUAAAAAUGCAUUGAUUUGUUAUGAAAAAAAAAGAAUACUAUUAAACAUUUGCAUUUAAAUUACAACUUUUUAAUGUAUAGAAACAACAACAUUACAAAACAAAUACAAUCUGAAUCUGAACAACAUAAUAGAACCCAUAUUAAAGAAAAAUAACUGAAAGGAUUAAACUGGUCCAUCUUUUUUGGCAUGUUAUAUAACCAGCAUGAACUAUCUCACUAGUUAUGUUUUGUAUAACUAGCAUGAACACACACACACACACACACACACACACACACACACACACAAUGCUGAUCAUAUUUUUAUUUUAUGAGAGAAUUGCAUUCAGAAAUGCAAGCUGCCUUACUUUCGAGGGGCUGAUGCGGUUUCUUCUCCGAGUUUGACUGUGUGUGUGGUGUGUGUGUGUGAUGGCUCGGCCCCUCCCUCAUGCCAUAUAAUUGGUUGACACCUCGUGUAUGAGUGACAGGAACAGAAUGUGAGGCUGAUCAGACAGUCGAUGUGCACCUUUAGGCCUAUAUAAUAAGUCAAUUAUUUUAAAUAAAAUAAAAUGCACACAUUAUUUUAUUAUUACAUAAUGAUUUAAUUUCUAUAGGCUAUUUUAAUAGAGUCGGCUCUUCAGAUAUGCGAGCCAGCUCUCGUCGUUCACCUACAAGAGCCGGCUCUUAGAGUCGGCUCAUUCGCGAACGACCCAUCAUGGAAUAAGUUCACUGAAGUUCAAUCAAGACGAGCCUAGAUGGAUCCGCCGAAUCGACGAUCUCAGGUAACCAGUUUUAUUUGUUUUUAUGUUAAAUAUGUCAAAUGUAUCUUAGAAAUGUCUGGGAAGAGGGCGAUUGGAUUAUUUUACAUAUAAAUUACCUAGACUGUCAACCACAUUGUUCACACUACCUGCCAUGCCCAUUGAAAGUGAGAUUUUUUUUAUAAAAAAACAAAAAAAAAUUAUAAAAAAAAAAAACGAAAAACAGUGCGUUAUUGAUUAUAACACUCAACGCUGCAAUCCGCGAUAAAGAAAACCCAUUGCAGAUGACACUUUUCAUUAAUUUCACAUCACUUCAUUCGUGACAGCCAUAGAUAACAUAAUUUUACUGGGGCAUUUUGCCCCCUUAUCUUUUUCCCCCGAAAUAUUUGUUCAGAUUUGAAUUUAGCAGUUGAUCUCGCUAUGUACUUAAUGUUUAAUCACUGGUGUGAUUGCACGAGACAAUGUGUUAAUUAUCAGACGUAAAAUAUUAUUUUUGCCUUUUGGAAUCGGCUUUCAAAUAUAUUUGGUUAAAAAAUCUCACUUUCAAUGGGCAUGGCACGUAGUGUGAACAAUGUGGUUGACAGUCUAGGUAAUUUAUAUGUAAAAUAAUCCAAUCGCCCUCUUCCCAGACAUUUCUAAGAUACAUUUGACAUAUUUAACAUCAAAACAAAUAAAACUGGUUACCUGAGAUCGUCGAUUCGGCGGAUCCAUCUCGGCUCGUCUUGAUUGAACUUCAGUGAACUUAUUCCAUGUGUUCCAUGUGCGGUUCAAUAUCAACCAAUACGAUUCCAUGUACGAUGGCGCGUUUUCAUUGGUCAUUCGUUGAAGCCUAUUUCUGAUUGGUUGUUGCCGUUUUGACAGCGUUUAUGCCAAGAGGAAAAAGAAAGAAUUCGAAGAGAAGAGUACUUGGCCAUGCGUGAACGCACGGGACACAGUCUAAGCACAUACACGCUACUUCAAGCGAAGAGGAGAGAUUCGCGAUUGCACUGAACACGUUUUAAGUGCAGGUAUACUCUCUGAGCGAGCCCAGAGAAAAUUCUUACAAGAGCAACGUGUAUCUGAGAGCGCGCGCCCAGUUCCCGCGCGCGAGCAGAGAGAUUCGCGCUCCGCACAUUAUAUUAAUGUACUUUCGCGCUACAAUAAUGCGCUCUCGACAUUUGACAGGGAAAUAACGCCAUAAACACACUGAUCAGAUAAUAUUCCAUUCAGAAGCCCGUUUGCACUUGUAUUUUCAAUGUGAACAAAGUCCGUAAACAGGUCUCAUGUUAAUCCUAAGUGCAACCUAUAUCAGCAUUAUAUCAGCUAUUGGCUCUCUUGCUAUCAAUAGCUGCAUUUCCAUUAACCUUCAAAUUGCGCAAAUUGAAAUUGCAAAU
ensembl:lncRNA